CGGAGGCAGCAGUGAGGAAUAUUGGACAAUGGGCGCAAGCCUGAUCCAGCAAUGCCGCGUGAGUGAGGAAGGCCUUAGGGUUGUAAAGCUCUUUCGGCGGGGACGAUGAUGACGGUACCCGCAGAAGAAGCCCCGGCUAACUUCGUGCCAGCAGCCGCGGUAAUACGAAGGGGGCGAGCGUUGUUCGGAUUUACUGGGCGUAAAGGGCGCGCAGGCGGCGAGUUUUGUCGAGUGUGAAAGCCCCGGGCUUAACCUGGGAACUGCGCUCGAAACGGGCUUGCUAGAGAUCGGGAGAGGAGCGUGGAAUUCCCAGUGUAGAGGUGAAAUUCGUAGAUAUUGGGAAGAACACCGGUGGCGAAGGCGGCGCUCUGGACCGAGACUGACGCUGAGGCGCGAAAGCGUGGGGAGCAAACAGGAUUAGAUACCCCAGUAGUCC
rnacentral:rRNA from 1 species